AAUAUUCGUAUGAGACAGCAAGGCGUUUCAGAAUAUCGGCCUGUGCUGUAUAGAGAAAGAAGAGACGUAGAACAAAUAAUCAGAUAUACCAAAAGUUUCUUGAUACAAUGUUGGGAAAGUAAGUAUAAAAUUAGAGCUUAAACCCUAAAGACGACUGAGGACGACGACGAGGAAGACCUAAGCUUGGCCCGCAUUCUGAAACACUUCGCUGUCUCACCGCGACUAUUUUCAAAGACCACAGAGAUAAUUAGUGGAGUUCUCAAGUGUUUAUGUUCUUAAUAGAGUAGAAUUCUUGUUGAUCUGUCACUAAAACCAUGAAAAAAAAAAAAUCCUUAAAAACCCGUAUCACUUAAAUUAGAGCCAUUUGAAAGAAAUGCAAUUGCGGAGGAAGCGUUUCAGAAUAUGGUCCGAACCGAUGCAAAGCUGAACAGGCCACAAGAAGAGGAGGAAGAGGACGAGUGACUGGCUGUGUGGCGAGAGGAAGCUGAAUUUCAUCAUUUUUUUGCCGUGUAUAGACCUGUACGAGCCUUAACAGGGCCUAUAUAAAGUGUACCUUGAGGAUCCACCACCACCUGUACGGAGUGUGGGCCGGGACACCUGAGCACCCUCACCUGCCGCCCUCUACCACUCAUGAGGAGCAUCAGACAAAAGCCACUCAAUCAGGCCAUGCAGCUGCACGGGAACGUGAAACAGACCGUGAUCUGCUCUGCUCUGCGGGCGGGAUUGCCUCUCCACGAUGAUGCUCCGAGGAGGCAGAGGAAAAAGCAGCACAACACAUUCCAUCCGCGCGGGGUCGUCCUCUAUUUAUAUGACGCAGCCAAUUAUAUAACGUUUACAUAAUUCGUGUUUUUCAUAAUGUAUGCAUCUCUUGCACUAUGAUUUUACACUAUUAUACCUCGAAGAGGCUCCGGAGAAAAAUACAACCAAAAACUGGGAAAUUUCUUUGUUUAAAAAAAAAAAAAUUAUAAAUAAAUAAAGUCAAUUGGGGGAGUCUUCCGAACUCUUAGCCAUGGCUCAUUCAUCAGCAGCAACACAACUAAUUAUGACCAUAAGUACAUUCAUUAUAUAUAUAUAUUGAAGGCAGACAUGCACACACCCACAGGAAUGGACGGACGGCCGCCUCAUAAUUUCUGUCGUGUUGGUGGACUCCAUUUUGGGCAAGCAGCGUGAAGGACGAUACAGGACUCUCCGCAGCGGCGCAGUGCCAUCUCCCGCAUGCUGUGUUCAAGAAGUUUCACAGAUCAGGACAAGCCACCUGCAAAAGGUUGUAAAUCUUUCAUUAAAAUAAAUCGCGAACGGAUGAAA